rnacentral:rRNA from 1 species
GACGAACGCUGGCGGCGUGCGUAAUACAUGCAAGUAGAACGCUGAAGAGAGGAGCUUGCUCUUCUUGGAUGAGUUGCGAACGGGUGAGUAACGCGUAGGUAACCUGCCUGGUAGCGGGGGAUAACUAUUGGAAACGAUAGCUAAUACCGCAUAAAAUUGAUUAUUGCAUGAUAAUUAAUUGAAAGAUGCAAUUGCAUCACUACCAGAUGGACCUGCGUUGUAUUAGCUAGUUGGUGAGGUAACGGCUCACCAAGGCGACGAUACAUAGCCGACCUGAGAGGGUGAUCGGCCACACUGGGACUGAGACACGGCCCAGACUCCUACGGGAGGCAGCAGUAGGGAAUCUUCGGCAAUGGGGGGAACCCUGACCGAGCAACGCCGCGUGAGUGAAGAAGGUUUUCGGAUCGUAAAGCUCUGUUGUAAGAGAAGAACGGGUGUGAGAGUGGAAAGUUCACACUGUGACGGUAUCUUACCAGAAAGGGACGGCUAACUACGUGCCAGCAGCCGCGGUAAUACGUAGGUCCCGAGCGUUGUCCGGAUUUAUUGGGCGUAAAGCGAGCGCAGGCGGUUAGAUAGGUCUGAAGUUAAAGGCUGUGGCUUAACCAUAGUAUGCUUUGGAAACUGUUUAACUUGAGUGCAGAAGGGGAGAGUGGAAUUCCAUGUGUAGCGGUGAAAUGCGUAGAUAUAUGGAGGAACACCGGUGGCGAAAGCGGCUCUCUGGUCUGUAACUGACGCUGAGGCUCGAAAGCGUGGGGGGCAAACAGG